UGAAAUUUUGGUCUGAAUCUUUGUGGAUUCAAUUCUAGUGACAGCAGUGUAAUUUAGUGAGGAAAGAUUUUGUUUAAGAAAGUUCCUUUUAGAGUAUUUAUUAUGUUAACUUGUAGGAAGAAUUGGAAGUUCUUUUUGAAGAGUAGGAAGUGAAGAGUGAUAAAUAUUUGAUCUGGAACCCAUAGGUUGAGUUACCAAAAGCAUCAACAUGCUUUGAUUCGGACUGUUAGCAUUAGUUAUAUUCAAAUGUGGUUUAGAUCUUCAUUAAAGUCUAGUUCAUGUAAUUGCAGGAGAAGAAUGAGUCCAUUUUUUAUGGUAAGGAAGAAAAUGGUUUUGAAGUGGUCGAAUUCGAACUGCCAGAGCUGGAUCUAUUCUUGGAAAAUGCUUGCUUCUUUGAAGAAGAGAAAGUGCAACUUUUUGAUGCAGUUGGAGAGGCUGAUAAUAAUGUGAUUUCCAGUCGGAGCUCAUGUGGUUGGAGCUUUCAUAAUGCCUUGCGGUAGCUGUUUCUUCUGUAAUAAGGGUCAAGAUGACUUAUGCGAGGAUUUCUUCGCUUCUAACCGUGCAAAAGGAACCCUUUAUGACGGAGAAACCCGCUUGUUCCUCCGCAACAGUGGCAUGUUGAUUUCUCGACAGAGUAGUUUUAGUUACUCGUCAUAUAAGUGCUGGCCUCUUCUUACAUGUGAAACUCAACAGGGUUGAGUGGCCUCUUCUAAAGCCAAAUCUUCUGUCCUGUUUGGUUGCUGAGAAAGUGGGGGGAAAAAGUAAAGAAAAUGAAUUUUUUGAGUCCUACUGGAUACUGUCAUUUCUGGGUUUUGUUGUAUAUUAUUUAUGUAGUUGAUGAAUUCGUUGAUUGUUGAAAGGUCUGACAUGAUUGUAUUUUUAUCAAAAUUAUAUAUACAAUUUUGACUGAUAGCAAUUUUGUGGCUUUGUAUACAAGGUAGUAAUUAAUUUUUUGGUU